rnacentral:rRNA from 1 species
AGCGAACGCUGGCGGCAGGCCUAACACAUGCAAGUCGAACGGACCCUUCGGGGUUAGUGGCGGACGGGUGAGUAACACGUGGGAACGUGCCUUUAGGUUCGGAAUAGCUCCUGGAUACGGGUGGUAAUGCCGAAUGUGCCCUUCGGGGGAAAGAUUUAUCGCCUUUAGAGCGGCCCGCGUCUGAUUAGCUAGUUGGUGGUGUAACGGACCACCUAGGCGACGAUCAGUAGCUGGUCUGAGAGGAUGAUCAGCCGCAUUGGGACUGAGACACGGCCCAAACUCCUACGGGAGGCAGCAGUGGGGAAUCUUGCGCAAUGGGCGGAAGCCUGACGCAGCCAUGCCGCGUGAAUGAUGAAGGUCUUAGGAUUGUAAAAUUCUUUCACCGGGGACGAUAAUGACGGUACCCGGAGAAGAAGCCCCGGCUAACUUCGUGCCAGCCGCCGCAGUAAAAC